AAUCCAUGAUGUUGGCACUUCCUUAGCAUUGUCUUGAAAUGUUCCCAUGCCUCGUAUAGGCACUCACCCUUAUAUUGCUUAAAAUUGGUGAUCUCUCACCCAAGUUG
rfam:Gossypium arboreum cultivar AKA8401 contig_728_11, whole genome shotgun sequence.